ACAGGGAGUACCUCAAGGUUUCUCUUAUCUCUGGGGAAUGGAAUAGACAGCGCUGGGUAGUGAUACACAGUGGUGAAAACUCUGGAGAAGCACACAACUCACCUACUGUUUGUGUGUAACACGCCGAAAACUGUGCACGGGUGGGUCUUUGACCCGUAAAUUAAAGACCUGUCCCCUGUGAUUGGGGUUCCAUAGCAGGCCGGUAUAUAUCUAAGGUCGACAGAGACGGUGACGGAAUCCACCCUACAUUGCUUUUCCCAGCCUACAAGACGAAGAAUCCCCCACCUAACCAACACCAAGCAGCGGAGAGAGGAGCGGCACGCUCAGUAUAUGGACUAUGGGGAAAGAUGGACUUGGGAGGAGAUUUUGGAUGGGGAUGGACCUUGGCAUCAGGCUGGGGAAUACCGUCGCCCACGGGAAGAGAUCGAGGAAUGCAACUCCAGGAAGGGAACUUUUAUUUGUAACUAGUGGAUUUGGUUCUGGGUGUUGAGCCUGAGAUUGUCACAUCUGCUCCUGCCACACCCCCUAGUGGUCAUCCGGUGACUGCUUGACCUGCAGCCAUUCCCCCAGUACGCUCUCUCUCUCUCUCUCCCCCUCCCUUUCUGUUUGUGUGUGAUUGCGUUGUUGGAGACAGGUGUGCUGGAGUCAGAGCAGAUCCCUACCAGCUGCAACUCGUUCCAUUAUCAAGACCUCUACAAAUACUCAGUUCUGCCACCUCCACUCUGCCAGAUCGUAAUUGCUGCUCAAUUUGCCGCCCUGACUCUGGCGCCUGUCUCCUGUUCCACAUCUCACCACCCUGCUACCCUGUUCUGGACUCCCCACACCACCACUCCCUUGGAUUCCCCUCUGGACCUGUAUACCCUGUCCCAACCCAGCACACUCCAACUUCAGCCUCCACAUCUGGUUUCCUACAACUCAUCCAAGCUUCCCCGGAUCUGCACUCCAUAUCUACCUGUGUUACAAUAAAUACCUUGGUUCAUUCAUCUGUUUCCUCGUCUGAGUCUGCUCUUGGGUUCCCCUGUGCCGCUCCACGUAACCG
rnacentral:lncRNA from 1 species